rnacentral:rRNA from 1 species
UUCCAUAGAUUCGAUCCUGGUUUAUUUACAAUUAUAACUUCCACACCUAUUCAUUUGUCAUUUGGGAGAAUUUCCCAUAUAAAGAAAGAAAAAGAGUCAAAGAAAGGAUGGGAGAUGUUUCCCAUGUCAAAUCAAAAAAGAGAGGUGAAAGAUACUAUAACAAUGUGUAUCAUAAAAUAA